CAGCUAAGGAAGAAAGUCUGAGUGAAGAGCAGAAGAAGAAGUUUGAAGAGCUGACGGUGGAAAAGAACAUUCCAACGGAAAACAUAAGAAAUGUUAUUGAAACUGAUGACUGUCCUGCUGUUUAAGGACAUUACCUGAUGAGCAGACACUUGAGAUCCUAAUGAGAUCAAGAAUGUUUGCAACAUCAUCUUCUCAAGGGCUCAGAAAUCAUCACUAUGAAGAUAAAAUGCCCUUCUCUUAUUAAAAUUAUAAUUUCUUUAUUUCUGUAACAUUGCAAACCCUGUCUAAGGGA